rnacentral:rRNA from 1 species
UACAGAGGGUGCGAGCGUUGUCCGGAAUCACUGGGCGUAAAGGGCGCGUAGGCGGCUUGCCAAGUCAGGGGUGAAAUCCUGCAGCUUAACUGUAGAAGGGCCUUUGAUACUGGCGAGCUCGAGGGAGGUAGGGGUAUGUGGAACUUCCGGUGGAGCGGUGAAAUGCGUUGAUAUCGGAAGGAACGCCGGUGGCGAAAGCGACGUACUGGACCUCUUCUGACGCUGAGGCGCGAAAGCUAGGGGAGCAAACGGG